ensembl:piRNA 21ur-6332 ncRNA
UUCUCUUUGCUUUUGAGUUGA